UAUGUAGUUUCCUUCUGUUGGGUAUCUCACGUAGCAUGAUAUGAAGCUUCUGAAUAAUUGGUUGCAGAGUUCUCGUAUGUGUCUUGGAGUUCCAAACUUCACAUUCAUUGAGCUUAAUUUUUAUAUAUCGCUUAUGUCUUUCCAGUCAUGCAGUCGCAGGUUCUCCAUUUCAUGAUUUUAAUAGUUGACGGGGUGAGAAAUUUCAUGGCAAGAGCCAUGUUUUAUCUCAGAUGUGUAAAGGGAAAUAUAUUUGUUGACCCAAAAAUCACACUACACUGUUGCAAUUUCUCUGUCGAAAAGUGCCUUGACGAAAGCAAAAUUGGCCUCCCGUGCUAUGAUGACGCGAAGAAUGGGACAAUUUGCUCGAUCAGUUUCAAAUUAGAAACAAGAAAUUUGAGAAAUUCAUUGGAUAAGUACUGAUAUGGUGCUUUUCUAAGAAAAUUAUAUGAUUAUUAAUGCAGGUCCAUGCUCUACUCUGAUGGCUGAGGUUGGAUACACUUGCUACAUGUUUAUUUAAUUUUAUUCUAUUGGAGGAUUCAAACUCUAGACUGAUGAAGUGGUGCAUUUUGAAUUUUCUUCUUAGAUAUUGUGAAUGGUCUACUGAAGGUAUCAAUAAUAAUACAUACUUUACAUAGUCAAGAUUCAUACUUUCCUUAUUACAUGUUGGUUUAUAUCCCCUACAUAUGUGAUGUGUGUUUAGCUUAUCGACUAUUCUUAAGUGAAUCUUAUGUGGUAUUGCAGGACUAACUUUUCUUUAGACAAUUUUGUAAUCUUUAGUUCAUUUUGGGUCAUUUCCAUUGCCUGUUAGUGUUUUUCGCUAGAGUGCUUUGCAGGCAGUUGUUUGAAAUAGAACCUUCCAGACAUCUUACUUCUCCAAUAGUACUUUCUUGUUGAGUUUGGUUGGACGUUCUCCAAAGUAAAUUUGGGAGAACAAUAAACCAUACUUUCUAUGUUUUGAAACUAGAGCUGGCCAUGAAUAAUUCUUUUCAAGUUGAUAGUCUAUCAGAGUUUGAAUUUGCUUUUGUAUAGCAAUAUGGAAGUAUAUUAUUUCAUCAUAUUUUCCUAAAGUAGCUUCUGAUUUGUUCACAUUUGUAGAACUACACAAUCUGCACAUUCCUUCUCUUCUCCUAAUCAAUUUCAUCUCAAAUUAGGCUUUAUCCCCUGAUUAGCAUUCUGAGCUACUUAAAUUUCUUCGCCCACAUGUUUGAUUUAGGUUUUUGUUUAGACAUGACAAAUGUUUGCAAGUUAUAGACGCCACGCCUGCCGCUGUCGGGGAGCUCCUGCCUGCGCUGCAAGCCUCAUGACCUUGCAAACUCGCUCGUGCUGCUUAUACGAUACGGCCUCUCCCUACUCAGGAUGGACUGCUUUGUGCAGAUUCACUCUUCUUUGCCUGAAGGCUCCUAUGUAUCCAGGACCCGCACAAGGAAAAUUCUGGGAUGAAGUAUGUACCAUUUUCUUCAAUAUUUCAUUUCCUUCAAUAUUUCAUCAAUGCAUGGGUAUAAACUGAACAUUGUAUAUUGUGACCUAUGUAGGAAAAAAAGCGAAAAUGCAAAUAGAUGAGAAAUCCCAACUUAUUCCUUUGGCCAUUUCUGUAACCAAAGCUAUUGGCUGGCCAACACAAAGGAGCUGAAAUUUCAUAGCGACAAAAAUAGGUAUUUAAUAUCUUUUUCAGAUAGUUCUCAUUUAUGGUAGUGGUUCUAGGUUUAUAUUCAGAAUUGUUCUUUUCUGUAAAAUUUUCUUGAAGAAAUAUGUGCGUACUGCUUCUAGAAUUAUAUUGUACCAUAUUUUACCACCACCUGCCUGAACUUUUUGUUCCGAAGGUUGACCUUAAUUUCCUGAUAUUGUCUACUCCGUAUAUUUCAUAAUAAUAACUGAUAAUCCCUCUCUAAAUUAUCCCAGCCAGAUUGCUAUGUAGACAACUCUUACUGAAUUGAUCUAUGUCAGCUCAUGCUCUCAAGCGGUCAAGAGGUCAUUGUGUGUUCAGUAUUCUCUACAGAUUAAUUAGUUUGUUCAUCCCAACAGUCUUAUCUACAUAUAUCUAACCACAUCAGGAGUUCUGACAUGUUUAUAGCUGAAUUAAUCUUUAUACAUAUGGCAGGUGCUAGAGGUACCGUGCAAGCAAGCAUGGCGACCGCGAUCAUGCUGCAGUGGCUGGGUAUAUCCCCUCCCGCUAGCUGAGGAUGGGCUCGAUGAUGGGGCUCCUACCCUUACACAGGUAUUAGCUUCUGCACUGUCUCUUUGUGUCUCUAUUACCUUGCCUCCCCACUUAUGCUUUGAAUUUGCUCUUUGCUUGGCAAGAUUAAUGUGAGGUGUUUAAUUUAUGUUCAUAAACUAAAAAAAUGAUGCCUGGUGAGAUUUUAGGUGUAUCCACCAAUAAUAGCUUUUGGAAUAAUGUUAAUACAGUUUGCUCUUUGCUGCCCAGUACUUGUGAAUAUAGAUUGGUUACUCCACUGCAUGUUACUCCGUGUGAGGUAUAUUCCCACAUUGAACUCGAUUAUUGCAAUGAUUGGGUUGAUUUGGACAUACUGUGCCUUGAAUGACUUUUCCCGUUGGGCAAUUCAAAUGAUGGAAGCCUCUUCGGACCCUUCCACCUCUCCGGCCUCACCACUGGAGACUCGGAUGCGAGAACCGCCGCCGCCGCCGCCGUGUCUGUCGGUGACGCUCACACAAGAAUCCAGAGGCAGUACCUUGGUCCUCUCCCUGAGAACAACAACUCUCUCAUGAUGCGGGACUGACGCCACCGUCCAUGCCAUGUUCUGGCUGAUCCCCAAGGCUCCUUGCCGAUGUCCAACCAGCGCCACACAGCCAAUGGUACUGCCGACAUGAGGACGCCCACCCCCGUGUUGAUCGAGCUUUUUGACCUGAGCCUCAUGGACAAGGUCAUACGGGCAUCUAAUUUUGAUUUGCUAUGUGCUCUCUUUUCACAAGUGUAGCUUUUUGUGUUAUAAAACUAUGCUACCGAUUGUUCUUUGUUGAUAUUUCCCUACUUGUGUCCUGAUUAAUGGAUCUGAGGUAGUUAGAAGUCACUGAAUAACUACUUAUACUAUUUUGUCAGCCAUCACUGGCUACAAUUGUUUAUAUGAUACUUGUACUAUUAUA